CGUGGGUAACCUGCCUGUAAGACUAGGAUAACUCCGGGAAACCGGGGCUAAUACUGGAUAACUUUUCUCUCCGCAUGGAGGGAGAUCGAAAGAUGGCUUCAGCUAUCACUUACAGAUGGACCCGCGGCGCAUUAGCUAGUUGGUGAGGUAACGGCUCACCAAGGCAACGAUGCGUAGCCGACCUGAGAGGGUGAUCGGCCACAUUGGGACUGAGACACGGCCCAAACUCCUACGGGAGGCAGCAGUAGGGAAUCUUCCGCAAUGGACGAAAGUCUGACGGAGCAACGCCGCGUGAGUGAAGAAGGUCUUCGGAUCGUAAAACUCUGUUGUUAGGGAAGAACAAGUAUCGUUCGAAUAGGGCGGUACCUUGACGGUACCUAACCAGAAAGCCACGGCUAACUACGUGCCAGCAGCCGCGGUAAUACGUAGGUGGCAAGCGUUGUCCGGAAUUAUUGGGCGUAAAGCGCGCGCAGGCGGUCUUUUAAGUCUGAUGUGAAAGCCCACGGCUCAACCGUGGAGGGUCAUUGGAAACUGGAAGACUUGAGUGCAGAA
rnacentral:rRNA from 1 species